AAACAUGCCAAAAAAACCCCAUCCUUUGUUGCCCCCUCCCAUCGAUCCCAUCUACUCCCGCCGACGCCGUCCGAGGGGGAGACAACGCCGCCGCCACCUCUGCAAGGCAGGGCGGUUUGAUUCCCGCCCCUGCAGCCUCUGCAAGGAAGGGCGGUACUGCACUUCGUCGGUACCGAAGGGGCACCCUGCCGCGGCUGGGGACUCGCCGCCACUCUCCUAUCUCUCACCGCGCACCUUCCCCGGCCAAGGAGCGCCCCAACCUUGCCAUGUCACUCGUGUGGCUCCCAUGGCGCCGCCCGCAUAGCUCCUUGCGCCGCCGGUAAUGACGCCCGCCUCCACCACAACUCCUCUGCCUGCGCCCCCAUGUGUCUGAGAUCCAGGUACUCAUCACUGUCGAUCCCCAGUGGGAGAGGCCCCCGCCUUCCUCUCCUCCUGCGUGGUGGCCGAUGGCCGCAGUUGACGGCGCUCCUGCGAGCGGGAGACACGAGUGCGGCGCAGGCAGUGACCAAGAGUGAUGAGGCAGCCCCCGGCCGCCUGGGGGCGGUUCUUUCACGUGCUGUAGACCAUGCCAUUCUGCUAUGACGAGGAUGUGCUCCGAUUACGUGGUUAAUACUAUCACAAUGCAAUAACUGGGAAGAUUACAGAGGGAAGGGACAAUAUGUAAGAUGGGGCAAGGAGGCUGGCUUCUCAUGACGACUUCAUAUAUGAUGCAACACUUAAGAGCUACUACAAAGCUUUUUUUUAGGAAGCUACUACAAAACUUUUUUUUUCAAAAGCUACUAUAAAGCUUUUGUUCAGCAAAUACCAUGACAAGAGCUUGAAGAUUUCAAAGAUACAAAGGGUUAGCAGAAAGAGGAUACACUGAUUUCAUCUGCUGCACUUAAGAGUCGAGUCUCUCUGUAACAGGUGCUGGAAUUCCUUGUAGUGGAGUGAAAACAAUUGUCUCUACGCAUGCAACAGCAAGGUGGGAAGUUGUAAUUAUUGUAGGACUUAUUUUCUGAAAGUUGAAGGGAGGUACUACGCAAGUUACAGGCUUUCAAUUCAGCAUGAAACCAAGACACGUGAUAUAUUGGUAAAACAGUUAGGGUGUGAUGAUUCAUGAACAAAAUAUUCAGAAAAUUUGUUGAAUCAUUUAAGGAGCAAGAACAACAAGUAUGUGCUGAAAAAUUAUUUCCCAUGGUUUCUUCACUCUUGGUUAAGGGAUUCUGGCACAUUCCCAAAGUAGCAACUUGUCAAGGGUUCGGGUCGGAACAAAAUUCAAUAUAUGCUGAUGUAUGGAAGAAAAGCAUAUGAAGUUACAGAAGUGGAUUAUUCUCUAUCGUGAACAAAACAUUAUUUGCUUCCCCAACUAUGAUUAAAUCAUCGGUGCAUGGAUUCACUUAACUCACUUGGAUUAUCUGUAGUUGACCCUCCAUUUAGCCAUAGAAAACUUGUUAAUUAUAAAAUAUUUACUUCCUUUUAAAGCAAUUAAUGUAUAGUUGUUCUUACUAUAUUAUCCUCUAUUUUUCUCAGUAUUUCAGAGAGUGUCAUGUGAGUUCAACAUUACUUGUCUAGAGGUAAUUGUCAAAAUUAGCCUCCCGAGUUUGCUUGUGUCACUCAUGGUAUUUGUUGAAGUAUAAAAGGUGUUGAUUUUACUGAUUACAAUACGAAAACUAACAAAAUGAUGAUUCAGUUGAAGUUUUUGUGUCCUAUGGAAUUAAUUGUCUAUAUCUCUGUAUAAUUUUAUACUAUAAAUUUUGGCACUCCAAUUUAAAAAGUGAAGCACUUCACAAUUAUGUGUGAUGUUUCAAGCAGAAUUGAGAUUAGCGAAUAUUUUUCUGCAAAAGAAAAGCAUGCAUGACUUGGAAACUAUGAGAUUUCUUAUCAGAAUUACUGCCAGAUCUACGGAUAUUUUUCCUAAAGAGCAAAACCAUAGUUGAUUUACUGAAUUCAAAUAACGGCAUGCAAGUGUGGUUCUAUAUCAAAUAGCUUUUGCAUUUGACAAAAGCAGAAUAAAUGGGAUUCUUACCAUACAAAAAGGUUAAAGCCAGAAUAAAUGAAAAUGUUGGUAUUCAAAACUUUGUAUUCAAGUCCAACUUAGGGGUUCAUAGACUUGCAAAAAAAUAUAUUCUUGAUAGAAGUUGGCUCCAUGAAUUUACAGGCUAAUAUGCAAUCUUGAGCUAUUAUUGUUCUGUAUAUUCUGAGGUGUAGCACCCACUCAUCCUUGUUACAAGGGAUGUAUCUAGAUGGUAAUUUCAUAGAUGGUUUGGUAGACUACGAAAUUUUUCACAAUCUUGGCACGCAUUUGUAUUUAAGCCUAUAUUGACCAAAUGUGUGAUGUGAUAAGAAAAAUACAGCAUGUAAGGGUGUGGAUGAAUUCAAACAUUUUUACUCCCUCCAUCGCUGUUUAUAAGUCUUGCACGUGUAUCUAGAUCAUCAAUUUAACUUAUAUAGAAUAAAUUGUUUAACAUAAAAAUUAUAUCAUUAGAAAAUAAAAUAUCUAAAGUUUCUAAUGAUAUACUUUUUGUAAUGUAUGCCUCUUAUUAAGUUGGUCAUAUUAAUGACCUAGGUACACGUGUAAGACGUGUAAACUCAGAUGGAGAGAGUACUAGGGAUAAGAAUGAGUGGCUCCAUUAGUACUAGGGAUAAGGUUAGUAAAAAAGAAAGAAACAUUGGUGGUGUGUGAUCCAACAUGAAACGACACGCGGCGUGACCGGUCGGCCGAGUUGAAUCGUUUUGCAUUCAACUACUGGUUGCUUGGUUCCAGCAACAAUUUUUGAGUGUCAAUAACAUAUUAUUGUGUUUGAUAGUAUGAUGUGUGUUAGCUGAUUGUAAAAAAAAUGUGUGUUAGUUAAGAUGUGCAUUGUUCUCGGUUGCUUGUCAUUUUGUUUCUUCAAAAGCCCGUGGCAACGCAUAGGCGUUCUACUAGUAGUGUGAAUUUGCCAGUACAUUCAAUGUAUUGACCCUUUGUGGCUGCAACGUCUCAUG